rnacentral:lncRNA from 1 species
GUAUGGCAGCUGUCCCAGGCCUGGCCCCAUUUCCUUCCCUCCCCACUCCUCCUUUCUCGUGGUGGCUUUCUCGCUCUUUUUCUUGGUGUGGGGCUGGGGCCUCUCGGGACUUAUCAGGUGCACCCAUUCACUGGGCUUCACUGUAUGAGAUGGGGCUCAGCUGGAGGCAGCAAGUGUCGGGGGAAGAAAGGGCUGAUUGAAUUUGCUUUGGGACCAGCUCCAAGUCCUGCAAGGCUUGCAAAUGUUUAGGGGGAGAUUUCCAUAUCACUCUAAAGUUGCUUGUCUUUCUCCCAAAGGGAAAGGCUGCUGCCAAAAGUGGAGGACUUAAAGCUGGAGGCCGCCCCAAAGACGGGGAAAUGAAGAAAACGCCGUUUCUGGAGCUCCCUGAGGGAAGCAUGAGGAAUUUCACUGCCUUCCAGCAAUUAAAUUGCAUUCAAGAAUUCUACAGUAGCCUUGGUGGUCUGCAACGACAUUUCAGGGAUUAGAUGCUCUAUCUCCUGUCUGCAGACACAUGAGCAGAACCCAGGAUGGAAGAAUGUAAUCACCAGCGUGACUCCAGUGAUGGAGAUGAACUAGAUGUGGAGACUGGGGAGCAGCAGAGUCAACUCAGUUAUCAUCUUGGCGGCCGGGCUGCCGUCCAGCUCACAGAAGCCACCUGAUCCGGAAAAGAUUUCCAAAGCCUGCUGGAGCUGUUUCCAUACAGGCAGAGGCCAGUGUCAUCUCCAGCACCUGGGGGACAUAAGAGAAAGAGCCAGUGGCCUCCAAGACAAUCUCAGUGUCUUCCCACUCACAGAACCAGGCAACAAAGAAGUCUGUGGCGUCCACAGGAGGGAAACAAAGCAAAACGAAGCGCCGACCAGUGCGGUACUAUUAAUUCAAAUUAAUGACCCUCACCUACAAAUAAAGCUGGUGCCUGGCAGGUCGCUGGCUCUUGGAGAGCUGCAAUGAGAACAAACGUGGCUUUGCCGUCUGGCCAGGCAAUCGAUGCCUCCUGCCUGUCCCUGGCCGCCCCGCACCCACCUCUUACAGAUGUUACCUGUCUCCUGUUAAUUCUCCCGUGUCACUCUCCACUUCCCCGGUGGGGGUGGGGGGGGGGCGGUCAAGGGUUGACCUGGAGGGUGGGCUUAUUUCAUAAGAAAGGCCGAUUGAAAGGGCCCAGAUGCAAAGUCACACUGCUCUGCUGAGCUGGGAGGACACCCCACUGAGAGACGUGUCUGAAAUGGGUGGAGGUCUCUGGGCAUCACUGGCAGGGGUGGGUGCCUGACUGUCAUUUAGGGACAUUUCUGCCUUGAUCUGUUGCUCUUAUUUAUCUCUGCCAAAAUAAAGAUGUGUUUGAUGAUAAAGACUUCUUUUAUUCAGCCUCUCAGUUAUUCCAGCACGGUAGUUAGAGAUGAAUACAACGUUGCCCUUAAGCUACAACCUGAUCUUCACAAAAACCCUUUGAAGAAG